rnacentral:lncRNA from 1 species
CACAGAAUGGAUGAGGAGAAGAAGAAAUAGGAGGAGAAGGAGGAAGCAGCGGAGGAGGAGCGGUAGCAGCAGCAGCAGCCCUGGAAUGUGAAAAGGAGUAGUCAUGAGUCAGGAGUAUUCGCCUCAGAU